CUAUACAUGCAGUCGAGCGGACAGAUGGGAGCUUGCUCCCUGAUGUUAGCGGCGGACGGGUGAGUAACACGUGGGUAACCUGCCUGUAAGACUGGGAUAACUCCGGGAAACCGGGGCUAAUACCGGAUGGUUGUUUGAACCGCAUGGUUCAAACAUAAAAGGUGGCUUUGGCUACCACUUACAGAUGGACCCGCGGCGCAUUAGCUAGUUGGUGAGGUAACGGCUCACCAAGGCAACGAUGCGUAGCCGACCUGAGAGGGUGAUCGGCCACACUGGGACUGAGACACGGCCCAGACUCCUACGGGAGGCAGCAGUAGGGAAUCUUCCGCAAUGGACGAAAGUCUGACGGAGCAACGCCGCGUGAGUGAUGAAGGUUUUCGGAUCGUAAAGCUCUGUUGUUAGGGAAGAACAAGUACCGUUCGAAUAGGGCGGUACCUUGACGGUACCUAACCAGAAAGCCACGGCUAACUACGUGCCAGCAGCCGCGGUAAUACGUAGGUGGCAAGCGUUGUCCGGAAUUAUUGGGCGUAAAGGGCUCGCAGGCGGUUUCUUAAGUCUGAUGUGAAAGCCCCCGGCUCAACCGGGGAGGGUCAUUGGAAACUGGGGAACUUGAGUGCAGAAGAGGAGAGUGGAAUUCCACGUGUAGCGGUGAAAUGCGUAGAGAUGUGGAGGAACACCAGUGGCGAAGGCGACUCUCUGGUCUGUAACUGACGCUGAGGAGCGAAAGCGUGGGGAGCGAACAGGAUUAGAUACCCUGGUAGUCCACGCCGUAAACGAUGAGUGCUAAGUGUUUAGGGGGUUUCCGCCCCUUAGUGCUGCAGCUAACGCAUUAAGCACUCCGCCUGGGGAGUACGGUCGCAAGACUGAAACUCAAGGAA
rnacentral:rRNA from 1 species